rnacentral:misc_RNA from 1 species
AUAAAUGAUCUUCUGUCUCUGUGUUCGAUUAGAUCCCAGAUUCCCAGUCCAAUAUAUUUCAAUUCCUCUGCGCUGGCACCCACUGAUCAUGUUUUCAAGAAUCCAAUCCCUCUUCAUCAAUCUUGAUAUCUCUCUUUCUCUCUUUCUCGUGUUGUCUUCUUAGUAUAAAUAAAUUUGGUGGCUUUGCAAGGCGCAGAACCCAGCACAGCAAUUCCAAUUCAUGACCCAGAAAAUGAGGUAAAAGUCUUGAAAACAAAAUAGGGCUACAGGCUGCCAGCCAUUUUUCCCUUUAUAAUAGCAUGCCAUGGCCAUGCCACCUUGAUUUCAAGAU